rnacentral:rRNA from 1 species
UACGGGGGGGGCAAGCGUUGUUCGGAAUUACUGGGCGUAAAGGGCGCGUAGGCGGUUCGCUAAGUUGGAUGUGAAAACUCUGGGCUCAACCCAGAGCCUGCAUCCAAAACUGGCGGGCUAGAGUUCUGGAGGGGGUAGCGGAAUUCCUGGUGUAGCGGUGAAAUGCGUAGAUAUCAGGAGGAACACCGGUGGCGAAGGCGGCUACCUGGACAGAAACUGACGCUGAGGCGCGAAAGCUAGGGGAGCAAGCAGG